CUCCAUUCCCACACAGUAAUUGCACUUCAAAAGACAAGAGAGUGACAAAGUAUGUUCAAUUUUUUUCGUUUUUAUUCUUGAACUGAUUUUGGUUAGACUCUCCAGUUUUACAUUGUUUUUUGUACAAAGUUGAAAAAGUCAGUUCCACUUUAUAAUUUUUCCACCUAAACAUUCACCUAUUACCACAAAUCCAACAUGUCUAAAACCAAAUUUACUAUCUUCCUUCAGUCAGACUAGUUCUGCACUUCAACUUCCUUGCACCUGUCUUCCAGCCAAAUCAGCUGGAAAGCUUACGCCUUGGAUGAAUGAUGUAAUACAUAGAAGGGAUGGGUAUAAGGCAUUUCAAGGAGGAUCAACAAGACUUGGUGACUGACUCAGAGGAGGCAGUUAAGGCCUGAUUCCACGACGAUUACCACCCAUCCUGCCCCUCACCUUCUCCUUGUCCUCCUCAACUCCACUCUCUUUCUCCUCUACCAAGGCUAAAGUGGCAGCCUGAAUGUCUAGGCCCGCCAUAAUCUGACCCUAACCAAUUGCCGUGGACUUUUCCACUUUUCCUAAAUGGUAUAUCCUAAUCCUACCCAUUCUCAAGGCCCAACCCAAGAACCAAAUCUUCCAUAAAAACUUGCUCUUCUAGAAUUCUAGAAUCUCAGGAUUGUAAGAGGAGAGGCUUCUAUUCUGAUUUCCUUUGUUCACAAAGGCACUAGCAACCAGAGGUCUUGGCAUGGGAUUUCAUCAGUGCGUCAGUUCUGUGAGCCUCGUCUUCCAACCGAACUGUCAGCUCUGUAAGGGAAAGAUAAUCCCUCAGCAUUUGCCGUGUCUGCACCCUCACUCCUGCCCCACUGAAAUCAAGGGAGAAUAGCAUCUGCUCUCCUUCAAGAACAACAACCAAAAGUAGGCGGAGGUGGCCGCGCGGUGACUUACACCUGUGAUCUCAGCACUUUGGGAGGCCAAAGCGGGGGGGAUCACGAGGUCAGGAAAUAGAGACCAUCCUGGCUAACACGGUGAAACCCCGUCUCUACUAAAAAUACAAAAACAAAAUUAGCAGGGCGUGGUGGCGGGCGCGUGUAGUCCCAGCUAAUUUGGAGGCUGAGGCAGGAGAAUGGCGUGAACCCGGGAGGUGGAGCUUGCAGUGAGCUGGGAUUGCACCACUGCACUCCAGUCUGGGUGACAGAGUGAGACUCUAUCUCAAAAAAAAAAAAAAAGUUGGUGGAGUCCUAUCCCAAACUGAAUUUUUGUGUGGGUGAUCACCUCUCCUAUUUGCCCUCUGGGCUACCCCUAUA
rnacentral:lncRNA from 1 species